CUUUAGCCUGAGGAUAGCCAGUAAGCGUUCAUCAUUCAAAAGAGUUUGGUUGGGGGAGAGUGACGACCAGACGCUACAGGGUACGUUGUUAAUUUUUUAAGGGGUGCUGAUUUAUAAAUCAUCAUGGUAGUGAUUAUCUUUUCGCAGUGAUGGGUCGCUGGAAUAAAGCUGAGGUGAAGCAUUGAGUGAAGAAGAUGAGCCACAGGACAUCUAUGCAUGUGAAGAGCAGCUGAAAACUUGGUGAACACAAAACUGCCAGGGGCAGAUAAAAUUUAAUACAUGAACACCGUGAAUGCUGUCUAUCAAAAACAAUAUUCAAGCUAUUGUUCCAGAGAGAAUAAUCCAGACGAUAUUUUGGGAAGAUAUUUGUGCACCAAACUAAUAAUACACGUCCCUGAAUUCCAGUCAACGGUAGAGUCCAGGAUAACGUAUCACUGAGAAAACAAAACUUGAUUCACUGGGUGGAGUAUUCACAUUUAUCUGGACUAAAUUUCAAAAGCUGGAAAUGCAUCCAGGUGCAGAGGUGAAAAGAAAAAAGAAGAAGUAUUUUUAAAAUUUGAUCAGUAGAGAAGAUUCUGACAACUCAAGGCUUAAUGCAAAAUAAAACUUCCUCUCAUAACUGUCUUGGAGUUGUCUGACUGUCUAUGAGCUACAGAUUUUUCUUCCUUGAUGACUGUUCCUCUCAAACCAGCAGCUCCUACCUCCAGGAAUGCAAACCCAGAGAUUUUACAUUGGGAGAGAUUAGGAAUCCUGGAAUUCUCAGCGUGGGACAUUAAUUAAAGUUUCCUCCCCAUUUUCAGCCGGGUUGACUGAGCCUCUCAUCCAAGAUCUAGUCCCAGAUACAGAAUAAGGACCAAUCAGAAAGAUGACAUCAGCGCACACAGCCACAGCUUGGCACUUUCAUCCAUGAGGACCUCCAGCUUAAGGACUCUCAGGAGUCAAGCUACCAAGCUUCGCACAAUAUGAUGUUUCGGUAGAGAAUUCAAUAAUAUUGCUAAAUGCAAGCACCGUGCACAACCCUAUUUAGAAACCCUGGGGCCCCUUUGCAUCCGUAUUGCGUUUUUAAUUCAAGGAGGACACGUCUCAGAAGUCAGGAUGCUGAGCAACACGCUUUGCUGUCUGCACAAAACUGUCUCUAGGACUAUUACUGCUCUUGGGAUGGGGUGCUUUCAUGCAAAAAAGGUUUCAUUGUAGUUAGCAAGGACUGAGUAUGCAGACUGAAAAAAAAAUCCUUUUAAUGCAAAGCCUUUGCACUUGUUAACUUCCCCGGAAAUGAAUGCACCUCAGGCAAGUAUAGGGACGCUGGAACCAGGCUGAGACACUGCAGCCCCAACCUUGCUUCCUGGAGGAAGCUGAUCUCGCGAGAUCUUUCGAAGUCUCGCAGGUGUUCACGGCAUCAUCUCGCGGUGUUUGUGGGGUCUCGCGGGAUGCUGGGGGCUAUAGGGAUGUCUGCGGAGGCCAGGAGGAGCAUCCUGAGCAGGGAGAGGCUGGAAGCUGGGGGACCAGAGUCUUUUGGUGCCCCUACCGGCUCCUACCACCUCUCCCGCCGACCGUCUUCCUCGUGAUGCCCACGCCCGCCUCUAGUCCCGGCUGCCCGGCCAGGCUCUGGGCCGAAGACAGUGUCAAGGCCACACCUGGGGUUGCUCUGUGCAAACGGGGGCCACACAUUUAGCCUGAAAGGCGGGGGCAGCCCCGAGGGCUUCCGAGCAGGGACCCUGGGACUCCAGUUCCACUUCUACCGACGUCCCAGACCGCACCACCAAGGACGGGCAGCUGCCAGGUGUGGGGAGUUCAAGGAGAGCAGCUGUACCUGGUCCCCAAGCCUCUGCCCUGGAGCACAGCUUCGAAGCAUUUCGGUAAUUACCUCCCCCGGAGGGAAAUAGAAUUCCUCCAACGUUUUGCUUUUGCACAGAGACUUGAUACCUAAUAGGUGGAGACCAGCUUGGAAGCAUUUGGGACAUUCCCUGCCCAGGCAUCCUGGCAACUGUGAAAAGUGCACUAGAACGCCUCUUGAACCUUCGCCCAGGGACAGACGGCCGUUUGUCUGAUGGACCUGUGACCCUGGACCUCUGGCCGUGAGGUCAGGGCGGAAGUCUUCCAUGGAAGAGGGGUCCUCACGCCUGAAUCCCUGUGGCCCUGACAGAUCAGCGUGGCCCAGCCGCAGCCCCAGCCAGAAGACUGCAGGGAGCUCCAGCCUCGAGUUCCGGACCCCUGGGGGCAGCUCCUGCUUUCAGAAGUUGUGGCGGAAGGGACUCUGUACUGCUCUUCAGCGACGCCCUGGACAUGAGCUCUCCCGGGCACAGAUUGAGCCGUCCAGCAAGGUUAAGAAGCCAGCUGGAGGAAGAGUCAACAGCCCUCAAGUUUGACACUUGUCACUCUUGUUUUUCUACGUUGGGAUUUAACAAGAGGAUUCAAGAAGAGAACCACUCGUCAAGCCGUCAUCUGGUCACUGGCUGCUCUGUUGAUGCUUUCAGCCAGACUCUAGGAUAUCAGCGGAGAUUUGGUUUUGGCAAAAACAAAAAAUUUUUAUAGUCCCUGCUAGAAAUUCCUUAUCCAGAAGGGCAUCAAAGCCAGGGGGCCUUCAGAGUAAGGGAUAAAUCCACUCCAGGCUGGUGGGAGGGUCCCCUUAGCCAUUUUGCCCCUCACCUGAGGAGGAGGGCAGGUGAGGGGAGACUGGUUUCCACUGGAAACAGAGAAAGUCCCUAUGGACAAAGAUUGUCACCUGCCACUUCAGGAAACAAAGGAUGCUGCAGCCGGAGUUCCCAUCGUGGCUCAGUGGUUAAUGAAUCUGACUAGGAACCAUGAGGUUGCAGGUUCGAUCC